rnacentral:tRNA from 1 species
AUUCAUAUAGCUUAUAUAGAGCAUAAUAUUGAAGAUAUUAGGGAAAUGUAUUAUUUUUGGAUA